rnacentral:lncRNA from 1 species
GGACCAGCUCUAGAUAGCUUUCAUCAUUCAUCCUUUAAAAUGUUCUACCUUUAUAUAGACAGUCCUACAGCAUUUAAUCCAUGACCUAUGAUACCACUUCAACCAUAUACAUAUUUCUUUUUAUUAGAAAUUAUGGGUCAACAUGCAGAAUGUGAAGAUAAUUUCUGUUAAUUUUUGGCGCCUCUGUUCAUGAGGAGACAAUUAAUGCCUGUCUAUCCUUUCAAGUUAUUGAAGGAAUGGAUUAUAAUCUUCUCUACAUGAAACAUUUUUUUUUGUUUAAUUUUGUUGCCAACGCAUUGAAAACCUUUUGUGUAAUGCUUCCUGUGAAUUUGUCAUACAGAAGAUCAUAUUCGAUUUAUUUUAUUUAAGACAUUUUCAAGUUCAACUUCCGAUUAUUAUUGUUAUUGUUAUUGGUAAACCUGAAGGUGGGCAAGAAGACUAUCAAGAGUAUGUAAAUGCGAGUGACAUGAAGACUUUGUUUUCAAUUGUAAUAUUGAGUCAGGAACAUGGGCGGCACCAUCAAGUUUGUGACGCUGCAAAGAAAAGUUGAGCUUUGGAGUUGGUCAAAACUCAAUCAAUCCUGCUCUGCAUGGAAAAGAUUGUUGUGACAGAUUAAGGAAAGUACAGCGCUAACUCCUAUGACUCAAAUUACUCUCUCAAGUGUAAUUAAGAAAAUGAAAGAUUGUUUAUGUAUUCAUAUCUCAUUAUUCCAGACAAUUUAUGCGAGUUUGACUUGCAGGCACAUGCGAAUGGAUAUGCUUUAUGAAGAAAAAUCAAAUGCAUUUCUUAUGAGUGAGUUUCAGUCUCUGAAAAUAUGAUAUUCAACCACUGAGCCUCUGAUUCAGAACCUAAAAAACUUUGUUAGUCGGUACUGGUGUCAAAGGAGAAUGCUUUAGCUGGCACAUUCUAUACACCAUGGAGAUCCAAUCCUUUUCAUAUUCUUAUUGUGAGGGUCAAAGCCUUUGCUAAGAUAUCACAGCAACUCCCGAUGUCUGAUGUCAAGUGAAAGCGCAAAUUCUUCUGUAGAGUCGAUGGAAAAAAACAUUAAAGAUAAAAAUGAAAGCCUCUUGCAAGCAGUCCUUUUUGAGAAUUCCAAAAGCAUUUUCUGAUGCUAGUGUGUGCCGGUUGCCCGUGAUGUUAACUCUUUUGAGAUAAACAAGUGCCAUGCUCUUCUCUGUCCCCGGCAUGGAGCGUGAUCUACGAAGUUCAAUCACCUUUGAUGCAUUGAGCCAGACAGAACCAGACAUCACUAAAUGCCACCAACCGAAAGGAGAAAUUAAACAACGAAGCUAAUUAAUGCUCAUGAUCUAAGCUUAAUUAUAAUGAAUGGUUAAGAUUUAUCAAAAGUUAAGGAUUGAUCAUCAAUUAAUUAAUUAAUUGACUCUUUUGCCACUGAACUUGUAACUAGUGAUAUAAUCAUAUAAAAGUAUGAGUUCGAGUUUUAGAAGGCUCACUGUUAACCUUCGACUAAAAGAAGAUAUCUAUCUAAAUAUUAGUGAGAGAGAAUUUUUAAAUUAAUGUAUAAUAGAUUUUUGAACUGUACUGAAAAAUGUGUGUAUAGAGAGAAAGGGGACUGUAACAGAAUCCGGUUGACAAUAUACGUGUAAAUUGUAAUAAUUUGAAAAACAAAAAAAAAGUUAAUUGAAUAUUUUCUUGGACAUUAAUUAAUGCAACAAAUUAUGGGUCCAGCACACGGGGCUGUGUGUGAUUCCAUCUAUGCACACUUCACUGUGUCCGGCAUCAAGUAUCAAAAAGAAAAGAAGGCUUGCGUAUCAGCACUAAUACAAAACAAAAGUUGAGUGGGGGGCCAAGACCUUUCAAAAUAAUCGAUGAGGGUAGGGACAUUGUUAAUGUCCACCACAAAUCGUCCCUCAAGAAAGUACAAAACAUGCAUAUACUGGCCCCGCACUUAAUUUAAUUAGUCUUGAACAUGACCAAAUAUAGUAAAAAUAUUCACGAUUAAGGGCAAGGACAAAUCAGAUGAAAACAUUCACGUCACAUUAUUAUUAAUCUCUAAUUAAUUGCUUAAGUUUUAAUAUUUUUUUACCAAACCACGUCGGCUUAUUCUCCCUUUGCAUAAAGAUUGAGUCACUAAAUCGAGUAGCUAUUUCUCGUACAAAGACAAAGUAGCUUCACAACUUUCUGAAAGGCUAUCUCUCUCUGUCAUUCUCCAAUUCUCAUUGUGGAAGCUCUUAGUUGGUGCAUUAUUUUUUGACUGUAAAUUAUAUCAGCAGUCAGCUAGUCAUCAGCAGGCUCCUAGCUAGAUCAAUUCCUUCACUCAUAAAUAUAUACGAGAGAGAUAGCUUGUUGUACAUGCUUCAUUAGACAAAUUAAUUAAAGAGUGAAAGAUAACAGAGACACAUACGAUCGAAUUAUAUAUGAUGGGACUAGUGAGAGGACAAAUGGAGGAGGAAAUGGUGCCAUUUACAUUGAUGGUGAUAAUGGAAGGUUGUACAAUAGGGCUUACUAUAUUGACCAAAACGGCCAUGAAUGGAGGAAUGAGCCCUUUUGUUUUUAUUGCCUACACAAAUGCUCUUGGAUCCAUUCUUCUUCUUCCUUGUUCCUUCUUCUUUCAUCACCGCGGGUCUGAGGCUGCGGCUGGGGGGAGGUUGUUACACAAUAAUCACCCCUCUUUCUCCUUUUUAAUUCUUCAUGUUCCAUGUACAACAUAACAAUAAAUUUAAUUUAAUAAUAUUUCAUUAUAUUAAUAUAAAUAUCGUCGAUCGUCUGCCAUUAAUCUUUUUAAAUUAAUUUUGCUUGCUGCAGAAUAGAGCAGCCACUCUUCACCUUACCUCUUAUGCUGCGCUUCUUCUUCUUGGGCCUAACCGGGUUUGUAUAUUUCAUAGCCUCCCUUAAUUUUGUUUCGUUUUAAUUCUUUAACACUGCUACUGAUGGAUACAUAUUUCGUUCUAAUUAAUUACUUUCUGCCUUAAUAUAUGUUUUUGCUGCAGGGUAGCUAUUUCUCAGAACCUUGCAUUCUUCGGCUUGUAUUAUAGUUCGCCUAUCGUUGUGUGCGUGAUGGGCCUUUUGAUCCCUGCUAUCUCCUUCUUGCUUUCGAUCAUCACUAGGUUUUUCUCUUUAGCUUCAUUUACAUACAUACAUACAUUUCCUCUGAAUUAAUUAUUCUUUUUCUCAAAUCAUCAUGAGCACGGGAUGAUAUCAACCAAUUUGAGAUCUUGAUAACAUAUCUUUGUUUUGAUGAAUUUUUUACAUGAAUACACUAACUACGUACCAUCUAUGCAUGAUCCAAAUCUAUUUCUCUGUUGCACUAUAUUUAUUUUAACAUCACUUACUUGUAUUAUUUUGCUCGUAUAUAUUAAAAUCCAGAUCCGAAAAAAAUUCUUGCUGAACAUAUAAAAUAUCGGCACCAUGGGCCAUUUCUAGUGGCGUUUUAGACCACCUAUUGGAACAAUUUAAUAUUUAUAUAUACUAUAUAGUUCUCCUGUUUUGGGCUUAGCUUUAAUUAUAGAUGUCAACUUGGCUAUGUGUGGACUCAAUAGAGUUGAGUCCGAAGCGACCAUCAUAAAUAUAUUUGGACUACCAUAUGAUAUUUGGACAUGUAGAGUAUGGUUGUAACUCCAAUAAUGAUAAUAAUAAUAACGUAAAUCCCAGGACAACAAAACUAGAUUGGAGAAGCUCAAGCAUCCGAGUCAAAGUAAUUGGCACCUUGAUAUCGAUCAUGGGGGCUAUAUUUGUACAGGUGUACAAAGGCCCAUCCAUGAGAAAAGCUGCUUCUGAUGAUAAACUUGAAGCAAAAAUUAAUCCACCACUCCUCAUUUUCUACUCAACACCAGACCGUUGGGUCCUUGGUUCCACUUUGCUUGCGGCUUCUUCUUUAUCUGUCUGCGUAUGGAACAUUAUUCAGGUAAAAUUAUUAAUUAAUAUCAUAUUUCAUUGAUCUUAUGAUCAAUUCAUUCUCGUUAAAAUCGACCACAGAGACAAAAGCGCACUGAAUUUAAUUGUGUAAUUCGAAUUAAUUUGGUCAGGUGGGAACUAUCAAACAGUAUCCCCAAGUGAUGAAAGUGGUCUCUUUUUAUAGCUUGGCUGGGACUAUUCAGUGUUCAAUUUUCUCGCUGAUUAUGGAGAGAAACAUCAAUGCUUGGAAAUUAAAGCUAAACAUGGAGCUUCUCCUCAUUAUUAUAACAGUAAGUGAUUCAAAUAUAAUUACCAAAAUUAAACCAAUCACUCCAAAGAUAUUAGUGUGAGCACCUCUUUUUUUUUUUUUUUAAAUAUGAACAUGUUAUUAAGUCAUGUGGUUUAAUAGCAUUAAAAUCUAAAUCUAUUAAACUACACAGCUUAAAAUGUGUCCGAAUAAAUUAAAAAAAAGGACGCCUAUAUUAGAAAAUGGCUAUAUAUAGAUAAUAUGAACUUAAUUAAUUCCCUUAUUUUUAAAGACACAUAUGGUUUGUUAAUCGUUACAGGCAAUUUUUGGGAGUGUCAUUCGUUGCACCGUCCAUGUCUCGUGUGCCGAAAUGAAAGGCCAUCUUUACGUGCCCAUGUUCAAACCAUUUGGAAUUGUUUUUGCCACAGCUUUCGGUUUAACCUUCUUUACAAAUUCUCUCCAUUAUGGAAGGUAAUACUUAAUAUAGCAUAUCGUUUAUAAUUUAUCAAGCAGAUGACAUGUCAGAAAAUGUUAUAUAUGGAACGAGUAUACAUAUAUUUUCAGCACAUAUAUAACAUGUUGUAUUAUUUACUGAAUGAAUUAUUUAAAUAAAAUAAAAUUAAGUUUAAUUCUUUCAUAAUUUAAAAAAAUUACUAAAGAUAGCCAUAUACAUAAUGGCUCAACUAAUCCGGAUUCGAGGUGUAGUCACAGUUAAGACUCUUUACCCCUUCCAAAUGGUGUGUUUAGUGGGGAUCAAACCCGAGAGUUCUUCCCACAAACUCAGCCUGCGCUGUCAACUGAGCCACAACCAUUUGGCACAUGAUGGUUAUUCUUAAUCUUGUUGGGUGUCAAACAAAUUAAUCCCUCCAAUUAACAGAUGAAGUGAAAUGCAUGCAUGUACAGUGUGAUAGGAGCAGUUAUAACCGGAAUGGGCUACUAUACUGUAACGUGGGGAAAUAUCAGAGAGGAUGAAUUACUGCGUAAAGGCCAUAAUUCUAAAGAUGCUGCUGACGAUCAAAAGGUCCCUCUCUUGCAAGAAGAUUCGCAAGUCUGAAGAAGCUCUCUGCAAUUUGAACAUGCUCAAAGCAAAACUUUAUUCAAGCUGCUUUUUCGAGUAAGUAUAAAAUUCGAUCUGCUACAUAUAUAUAUUAAAAUUUUGACAUGCACCAGAAUUUAUUAAAUAAUCUAAUACGUUCCUUAACUAUUAUUGAUUAGCUUGUUUUUUCACUUUCUAGUUGGCUUGAGUUGAGGGAGAUUCAUCAAGCCCUGUUGUAUGAUACGGAAGAAACAUGCGUACCACCUGUGUAUCGACCAAAAAUUUUAGAGUUUGGGAAGAUUGGUGUGUUCAAUUGUAGAUAUUUGGGUGAGAGAAAUGAAAGAAUAACAUUGAAGGAUUUUGCAGCAGGUUUUUUUGGUUUGUGCAAGGUCCUCUUGAUGUACAUAUUUUAAUCUUUGUGAAUUGUGAUUGAAUGAAAUUUUUCUCUUUUUUUUUUCUCUCUCUCUCUCUCAGCUAGCUGUUACUUGCUACGUACAACCGCUCUGCCAAACACCUUAGAAUUUUAACAGAGGAUGAAUUAGAAAUUUUGAACUCAAAUUUUCAUUUUGAUAUGUGAUUUGUCUCUCAUUAGGUAGAAGAUAAAUUUUUGUAAGUUUUAAGUGAAGUAUCACACAAUCUCACUAUUUAUUAAAUCAACGUCACAUAUAUAUAUAUAAAGCUGGGACUACAAGAGGUGAUGUGACAUCACCAUUUCUCAUAUUUGUAUAUUCUCUAUUAUCUAACAAAUAGAGAAAUUUUCUUUCAAAUUUGGCUUUUCAUCUUCUCAUAAUUAAUUUGACUGUUAUUACACAAUCGAUAUGUAACAGUUUAUCAAAAGACUCAUUAUUUUCUCUAAUUGAAACCUUCUUGAUCAUAAAUUAAGCAAUAAUUUAUAAACAUUUUUAAUCACUCUUCUCCUCUACCUCACCUUAAUUUAUAAAUAGCAACAAAAAAUAUGAUAUCCCACAUAAACACAACAUAAAAGAACAGAAAAUAGCAAUGGCUCUAAAACAUGUGUUUUUCAUUUUGGCCCUCACUUGCCUGAUCAUGGCAAAUAUUACAAAUGCAACCAGCAUGAGUGAUCGCCUCAACAAUAAUAUGAAACCAUGCUACGAUCUUGCAACAAGACUUGAAGCUAGUGGAGGCCUAACGGAGUGCUGGACCACGUUAAUGGAGCUGAAAUCAUACUCAAAUGAGAUCGUUAUAUUCUUCUUUAAUAGCUAGGCUGAUAUUAGCCCUGACUGUUGCCACGCCAUUGAUAUCAUCACCUAUAAUUGCUGGCUUGCAAUGCUCACCUCUCUCGGAUUCACUGCUGAAGAAGGAAACAUACUGAGAGGCUAUUGUGAUACAUUUUCUGCUCCUUCUCCAGGUGGCCUUGCGGUGAUAUAUCAACCUCAAAUUUCCAAGGUUUUGACUUAGACAAGGUGCAUUUAUAGCACUUCUAUUUCUACCGUGUUAAUUUAGCUGAUGCAAUUUUAAUAAUUAAAAAAGUUUUUUUGAUUUUAGCUUUACUUUAUUUUUUUCAUCUUUUUUGGAAGUCUUGCCUCUUAAUCAAAUAGAAUAAAUCAUUAAAAGUAGAAUGAGGAAAAAAAGAGAAUAAUAAAUUCUUUUUUCAAAGUUGCGUGAAGUGCGAUUCUAUUUCCUAGUUUUAAGAUAAAAUUUAAGAUAUUUAAUAUUAUUUAUUUAUAAUUUUCAACUAUUUAUAUUGAUACCAAUAUUAUAAAUCUAUAAAACACUCCUCCACUCUUAGUCUCCAACAACCAUGUUAUGUAUAUAUAUAUAUUUGGUUGUUUCUUUCGUGGUUGAAAGUUUUCAUAUAAAUUUAUAAAAUGUGAAAGUCUUGAGUGAUACUGAUAUCAUGCCACCAUAUCGUCACCUUACCAUCCAAUUGGAUGACACCACAUAUACACUUAUCACUAAAUUUAAAAUAACCAUAGUACAUUACGUAUAUGCAUGUGGUGGUAUGUAAUUAGAUGAUGAUGUGAUGAUGUGGUGGAGUCCCUACCAUCUAAGACUUUCUCAACUUCUAUUGAGGCCACAACACUCACAAAAUUUUGGUCAAAUACUAUGUUUUUAAGUCCCUCAAAUUAGUACGAAUGAGCAUUUGGUCCAAUAGGAGAAGUUUUGCACUUAUAAUAUUGAGUGUAAGGAUUCGAGCCUCCAUCAGAGCAUUAUGGAAGUUAGUUUCAGUACUCUCUCAAUUAUCAACUAAUUGAGUGAAGAUAAUUUCUCUCUUACGAAAUGUGAGUGGAGCAUUAUAUUAUUUGAUACAAUUGUAAAUAUUGUAAUUGUAAUAUCUGAUGUAUUGUAAUUGUAAUGUCUGAUGUAAUAUCAGUAACAAUCUGUAUAUAACAGAAUUAAAAAAAAAAGUCCUUCAAAUUUGUAAAAUAAUUUCUCAUUUACUUAUUUCAAUAAUUUCUUUAUUAUUUAGACGAGUGAAGUUGCAUAAGACCCCUCAUCAUAAUUUAUCAUUUAUUUAUUAAAAAAAAUCUAAGAAAGUUAGGUUAGAGGGGGUCAACGGUUUGCCGUUGCCACAAGCCGGUGGGUUAAAUUUAUAGCCAGCACAAAUGCAGAAGGUAGCCCAAGGAUUUAAUGCGAUGUCUAAUGUUGUAAAUGAUUCUGUGUAAAAUUAAACUACUGCACGAUAUCUAUAAUAAAAUGAUUCUGUGUAAAAUUAAAGUGCUGGUUCCAUAAUUUCUAUGCCUUUGACGAAUUUUUGCAUCUCGCCACACUGUCUUUUGGGGAAAUAGAAAAGCUCGGUAAUUGAAGUGAUAUGUAUUGGAAAAAAAACAAAAGAAAAAAAUAUUAUGUUAAUUUCCCACUUCCAGAGGCAAUUCCUCGGAUACCAUAAUAUUUCUAUAAAGAGAAAUCAUGUAAAUAACAGAUUAGUCGAUAGCUUGUAAUUUUCGCGUGGUAAAAAUUAAUACAAGCUUUUAUGAUAAAUGUAAAUAAUAAGGUUAUGGUUAUGUUGGAGUUGAUGUAUGAUGGAGUACGAAUCUCAGUCACACACGCAAAGUGAUAAAUAAUAAAAAAAAAUUAUAACUUUAAUCGUGUGAUUAUGAAAAAAUAUUAUACCUUAGAGCAGUUCCAAUAUAAUCGAACCCAAAUAAUAAAUACGUAACAAAUGUAAGUAAUAAUACAAGCACACAUGUCUUAUGUAAUUAAUAAAUGUAAUAUUAGGAAAUUCUUAGUAACUCUAACAAAUUAAAAAAGCCUAAAAUCAAUCCCCAAAAUCCCUUAAUAACCCAAUCAAAAGAAAUGACACUUCUUAUUUUCUUACUAACAAUGACCAUAACUAUUAAUAAAGAGAAUCCGACGGGUUACACAGCUAGCCCUGCAACCUACUUAAAAGUCAAUGAUCAAUCCUUGAUUAGUAAUUAUAUUUACGUACAAGAAUGAAUAUCAACAUGCAGCUGAUAGGACUAGCAAAGUCAGUGAGUUGGAUGUCAAACUUUUCAAGAUUCAAUAAUUUAGAGCAGGUGAUAAUGCAAGCAUGAUGAUCUUCAUUCUUCUACAUAAAAGAUUUCUUUAUCUUACAUUUAAUGUAAGAUACAUCCCCUCACAAAUUGAGCUGGACACUAGGGCGGCAAAGCUAUCGACUGAUUCAAGUAUUGAUGUCUGGAUUAAUACACCGAAAAAAAAUAAUAAUUUGAUUUCUUCUUCCGUUGAAUAUACCUUCCCAUGCAGUAUCUGUUUAGAUGACUACUUGAUUCGCUACAGAAUUUCAAAGUAUCUACCUACAGAAAAGAAUAUGAUGAUGGCUUAGAAUAUCGAGUAAACAUUUGAUACGUGUCAUCAAGAAAGUAAUCUUUCUGCCCCAAAUUCCAGAGCCCGUACUGGCAAUCGGAGCGAGAGAAGAGAUGGGAAAAGUUGGUUUAGCGCCAGUUAUUGGGAUGGUGAUGGCAGAGUGCGCUCAAGUUGGGCUGAUGUUUGCCGGCAAAGCAGCCAUGUCUGAUGGGAUGAGCAACCUGGUCUUCGUUUUUUACUCCAAAGCAUUCGCCUCUCUCGUUCUCCUCCCCGCUUCACUUCUCUUCCACAGGUUACUUACCCUUCGUUAAUCUCAAAUAUCAAAGCUUCUCAUGUUUUAAUCAAUUCAUCAUCUCUAUGCAGAUCACGAAUUCCUCCACUCACUUUGCCUAUUCUAUCUGCUUUCUUCCUACUUGGCUUUCUAGGGUAUGCUAAGUUUUACUUCUUUGACCUUGUGGUUGGUUUCUUUUUGUUUGAUUAUAAUAAAUUUUCUUGCUUUUACUCAUUCACAUACAGCAAGAAAAUUAAUAAUCAAAGAUGUUGUUUGUUAAAGGGUUUGUUGUUUUAUUUUACUUCAAGCAGUACUUCGUCUCAGUUUUUUGGUAACGCUGGGAUUUACUAUAGCUCACCUACACUUUCCACCGCUAUGCUUAAUCUUGUUCCGGGUUUUACCUUCAUUCUUGCCAUCAUUUUCAGGUAAUGCUCCCCCCUUUGCUAUGAUCAUUUUGACUUUCUUUUGAUUUUGUUCAUUGGAGUCCGUUUGGGAAGUUUAUGUUACUGAUGCUAAUUAAUUGCAACCAAUAAUAUAAUCAGUUCUCUUUCUCUUCAUUUGUAUGAGUGUCUGAUUCCGUACUUAAAUUGCAUAAUUAAGUUUUGUGAGUCCCAAUUACAGGCUUGCAAUUACAUAAUAGGCAUACUGCUGAAAAUUUGCUAAGAGUGUAUUCCAGUUACAAAAUAAUGAUUAUCCAGUCUGAUUCCUGGAUUAGGUAGUAAGCUAUUUGUAAUUAAUCCACCAUGCAGGGACAGAUAGGUUCCUGUCUUUCCCUCCUUAAUUAUUCAUUCCUUCAGACAUCAAUACUUGAUCUGGAACCCACUCAAUCAGUGACUGCAGUUUAGAGUUAGAGAAGGAAUUUCAAAAGAGCUGCUGAAAAUUAGACAGAUUUAAUGUUAUUGCUGAAGUGGCAGUAUGCCUUUUAAGCUAUUAACAAGGAGCUGAUGAGUAUGAGGUCACAGAUAAGCUGAAAUCACUAUGUUGGUCUUGCAGCUCAGACAAUAUGCCCUUAAGGGAGAAGAUACUCAAAGCUCUUGUUCUGAUUCUGACCCAAGCUUUACCUACAAUGUUCUAGAACAUCAAAAUCCUCCAACUAUUCUGUUAACACACCUCUUCUCCGUUCCUGUUUAUCUUACUACACUGUGGAUGUGGUACAUGCCCCCUCCCAGUUUAUUAAAAUGAAAAAUGCAUGUGUGGAUAAUCUGCACCAAAGAGUUAUAAUCAAUUCGGCACUGAACUUAAAGGAACCAUGAUAUGUGAUGUCUUCCAUUCCUUAAGUCUGUUGCAAGAGAUUUGCUUGCUGUAGAAUAAGUGGCAAUGCAGGUGGGUCUGGCUUUUAAAGUUUCGCGGCCUUCUCCCUUCUAUUGCAAAUUUGGGAAUGUAAUAACAUCGAGGAGAAUUAUUUGAUCUGCAGCCUCGGCUGAUGAAAUAUAAUAGGUCUGUCUGUGCAUUAGAGGCUGACGUUGACUUUGUAAUUACUAUUUAGUUAUGGUCAUGAGACUCAUGACUGAAUUAUUGAUAAUUGAUUGGUGCCAACUCGGCUGAUAUUGUUGUCUUCAAAAUACUGGCUUGUAGGCAUUAUAGUUUCUUUCCUUAAGAUGGACUUAAAGGAUAUUAUUUAAGGGGAGUUAGUUUUGCGUUGCUAAUAAUUUAGUGACUUCUUCUGUGUUGCUAAUAAUUUAGAAACAAUGACACAACUACAAACUCUUUUACCAUCAAUUUUUUUACAAAUUGAUGCAGCAUAACAUGAUUCGUUGAAUAAAAUCACCACAUGGCCUACAUUAAUUAUUUUUAUUAUUCUAUAUUUUCAUUCAAACAGUCAUGUAGUGCCACAUUAAUUUGUACAAAAAUAGUUUGUGGUCAUAAUGUUACUCCUAAUUUAGUGGAUUCUUUUGUUGCCCAAAAUCACAUCUUUUGGCGUUUUCUCAUUUGAGCUCCUCUGAUAGUCAUAUCAUCUGAAGAGUUCUUCAGUGACUGGAUGGUUGAGCUCCUUUUAGUUUCCUUUCUCGGUCAGACUUUUCUAUCUCAAAAAGUUUUAACUCAUGUUUUAAUUAAUGAAUGUGCUAAGCAUAUGGUAGAAAACUUUGGAAGAGUAACAGACUCCUAAGUUGCGUAGAGUGAUAUUUUUAUUGCUACCGAUGGAUAUAAAAUGAUUCAACUUGGUGAUUUCAGGAUGGAAAAACUAGAUUGGAGAAGCUCCAGUAGCCUGGCCAAAUCAGUGGGAACCAUUGUGUUAAUUACAGGGGCAUUUAUCAUGACAUACUAUAAAGGAACCCACCUUCUGAUGACAUCUUUGCCACCAAACUUGUCCCUUCAAUUUUUCGUGCCGCAAACAAACUGGGUCGUUGGUGGAUUGCUCCUUGCCGUAGAUUGUGUGUUCACUUCAGCAUGGCUUAUUGUACAGGUUAGAUUCUUAAGAAAUAGCAAGAGUGAGAACCAGUUAUAAGAUUGACUUAUUUUUCGUACAUUUCAGGCUUCAAUCCUUAAGAAAUUCUCAGCUGAGUUCAUCGUAGUCUUUUUUUACUGCUUCUUUGUGGCCAUUCAAUCUGCAAUAUUCUGUUUGGUUAUGGAAAGAGACCUAAGCAGCUGGAGCUUAAAACCUGGUGUGAGGUUAGUUGCUGUGCUAUACUCGGUAAGUAGAAGUAAGAAGAAAAAGCAUGUUUGUGUACAUGCUUAAAUUAUAUUCACUUUUUGUCUUGAAACCUUAAUAUGGAAAAUGCAGGCUGUUUUUGGCUCUGCAUUCCAAGUUGGUGUUUGUACCUGGUGCCUGCACAGGACUGGGCCUGUAUUUGUAGCUAUGUUCAAGCCCUUGGGUGUUAUAAUUUCAGCUGCGGUUGGCACCAUCUUCCUAGGAGAGACGGUCUAUCUUGGGAGGUACCUUUUUUUAAUUUUGGGUGGUGUUUUGACUUGUAUAAGAAGUUUUGUUUGAUCAUGUUACUGGUCAGAUUUCUCUUAUUUCCUGUCCUGAUUUUCUCCUCCUCUUCUAUUAUAAGAAAGUGACCAUUCCAUUUUUAAUGUAAUGCAGAUUUAUUGGAGCAGCUGUAAUUGUUACUGGUUUUUAUUCUGUGAUGUGGGGAAAAGCCAAAGAAGGGAACUCAGGUGUGGAAACUGGAGUAAGAAGCUUAGAAUCAAGCAGCCAAAAGGACCCCCUCUUGCAAAACAACUUUGAAGAAACAUAAAAGUUUUGCAAAAGAGAAAAAGGCCUACAGAAAAAAAUUGGUAAUUUUUACCAUCUUUAUCUGGAAAAUAGAAAGAGGAAAAUGUUUAGAAACAUUUAUCUGGAAAGCUACCUCUGUGCAGAAAUUAAGGUUUGAGCUUAAAAUGGACUUGGUUUUGCUUAUCUUGAGGUCCAGCCCCACUGCCAAUUUAGUUGUGAUGGACCAGCUCUAAAUAGCUUUCAUCAUUCAUCCUUUAAAAUGUUCUACCUUUAUACAGAUAGUCCUAGAAGCAUUUAAUCCAUGACCUAUGAUACCACUUCAACCAUAUACGUAUUUCUUUUUGUUAGAAAUUAUGGGUCAACAUGCAGAAUGUGAAGAUAAUUUCUGUGAAUUUUUGGUGCCUCUGUUCAUGAGGAGACAAUUAAUGCCUGUCUAUCCUUUCAAGUUAUUGAAGGAAUGAAUUAUAAUCUUCUCUACUCAAAACAUUUUUUUCUUUUUCUUGUUCUUUUUUGGUUUAAUUUUGUUGUCAACUCAUUGAAAAGCUUUUGUAUAAUGCUUCAUGUGAAUUUGUCGUACAGAAGAUCAUGUUCGAUUUAUUUUAUUUAAGACAUUUUCAAGUU